UGGAGGUGCUUUCCUAGCCGUUCCAAGCUUUUCAGGUCUCUUUGCUUGUGUGGGCUGCGUGCCCAGGCGUACGCGUCGCAGGGAGAGAAGGAGGGUGUCAAGCCCUGUCCCUACCUGCGCCGCGACCUUACUGCUUCAGCGCCUGCAAGAUCAGGAGGGUGACCGAGCGCAGGCGUACUGUGAGCUGGAGAGCGCCCUGUGCCAAGACAGCAG